rnacentral:rRNA from 1 species
AUUGAACGCUGGCGGCAGGCUUAACACAUGCAAGUCGAGCGAGCGGCGGACGGGCGAGUAAUGUCUGGGAAACUGCCUGAUGGAGGGGGAUAACUACUGGAAACGGUAGCUAAUACCGCAUACCAUCAGAUGUGCCCAGAUGGGAUUAGCAAGUAGGUGGGGUAAUGGCUCACCUAGUCGACGAUCCCUAGCUGGUCUGAGAGUAUGACCAGCCACAAGUGCACUGAGACACGGUCCAGACUCCUACGGGAGGCAGCAGUGGGGAAUAUUGCACAAUGGACGCAAGCCUGAUGCAGACAUGCCGAGUGUGUGAAGAAGGCCGUCGGGUUGUAAAGCACUUUCAGCGGGGAGGCGUUACUCGCAGAAGAAGCACCGGCUAACUCCGUGCCAGCAGCCGCGGUAAUAC